rnacentral:rRNA from 1 species
GAUGAACGCUGACAGGAUGCUUAACACAUGCAAGUCAACUUGAAUUUGGGUUUUUAACUUAGAUUUGGGUGGCGGACGGGUGAGUAACGCGUAAAGAACUUGCCUCACAGCUAGGGACAACAUUUAGAAAUGAAUGCUAAUACCUGAUAUUAUGAUUUUAAGGCAUCUUAGAAUUAUGAAAGCUAUAUGCACUGUGAGAGAGCUUUGCGUCCCAUUAGCUAGUUGGAGAGGUAACAGCUCACCAAGGCGAUGAUGGGUAGCCGGCCUGAGAGGGUGAACGGCCACAAGGGGACUGAGACACGGCCCUUACUCCUACGGAAGGCAGCAGUGGGGAAUAUUGGACAAUGGACCGAGAGUCUGAUCCAGCAAUUCUGUGUGCACGAUGAAGUUUUUCGGAAUGUAAAGUGCUUUCAGUUGGGAAGAAAGAAAUGACGGUACCAACAGAAGAAGUGACGGCUAAAUACGUGCCAGCAGCCGCGGUAAUACGUAUGUCACGAGCGUUAUCCGGAUUUAUUGGGCGUAAAGCGCGUCUAGGUGGUUAUGUAAGUCUGAUGUGAAAAUGCAGGGCUCAACUCUGUAUUGCGUUGGAAACUGUAUAACUAGAGUACUGGAGAGGUAAGCGGAACUACAAGUGUAGAGGUGAAAUUCGUAGAUAUUUGUAGGAAUGCCGAUGGGGAAGCCAGCUUACUGGACAGAUACUGACGCUAAAGCGCGAAAGCGUGGGUAGCAAACAGG